UACGGAGGGAGCUAGCGUUGUUCGGAAUUACUGGGCGUAAAGCGCACGUAGGCGGCUACUCAAGUCAGAGGUGAAAGCCCAGGGCUCAACCCUGGAACUGCCUUUGAAACUAGGUAGCUAGAAUCUUGGAGAGGUCAGUGGAAUUCCGAGUGUAGAGGUGAAAUUCGUAGAUAUUCGGAAGAACACCAGUGGCGAAGGCGACUGACUGGACAAGUAUUGACGCUGAGGUGCGAAAGCGUGGGGAGCAAACAGGG
rnacentral:rRNA from 1 species